rnacentral:rRNA from 1 species
GGAAGUAAAAGUCGUAACAAGGUUUCCGUAGGUGAACCUGCGGAAGGAUCAUUAACGAGUUGGAACGUGGAGGUUGAUGCUGGUGCAUAUAUAGUGUACAUGUGCUCGCCUUCACACUCUUCAUCCACUCAACCCCUGUGCACUUUAUCAGAGUUAGUAAUAGUAUUGUGGUGGCAGCCGUUUGUUAUUCAUUGUUAGAAGCGGGGUAACUACUUUCUAGCAGUAGUAAUAAUAACAAUCUUGGUUCUACUACUAUUACUGUGAACACUUUGACUUUUACUUACACAAACACUUUGCUUGUUCUUGUGAAUGUGUAAUGCUCCUUGUGAGCGAAAUACAAAUAUACAACUUUCAACAACGGAUCUCUUGGCUCUCGCAUCGAUGAAGAACGCAGCGAAAUGCGAUAAGUAAUGUGAAUUGCAGAAUUCAGUGAAUCAUCGAAUCUUUGAACGCACCUUGCGCCCCUUGGUAUUCCGAGGGGCAUGCCUGUUUGAGUGUCAUGUAAUUCUCAAUCCUCUUUUUUCUUAAUUGAAGAGGGGGCUUGGACUUGGAGGUUAAUAUAUAUACAUGCUGGUACUGUCUGUAUCGGCUCCUCUAAAAUGCAUUAGCUGGACUGUAGUUCGCAUUGUUUGGUGUAGUAAUAGUUUUCUAUCUAUAUUCACUACAGUGCUUACUUAGACUGUCUGCUUCUAAUAGUCUGCCUAUAUGUCGGACAGGUACUCUGUUACCUUAAACCAUUUGACUCCUUUGACCUCAAAUCAGGUAGGACUACCCGCUGAACUUAAGCAUAUCAAUAAGCGGAGGA